GAUAAACGCUGGCGGCGUGCCUAACACAUGCAAGUCGAACGACUCUGCCCUCGCGAGAGGGCAGGGGAGUGGCGGACGGGUGAGGAACACGUGGGUCACCUACCUUGAAGUGAGGGAUACCGGCGAGAAAUCGCCGACAAUCCCGCAUAGGUUGCUUGUCUUCGUGAAGAAGGGAGCAACAAAGCUCUGCUCGAGAGAGGAGGGCGCUUUGAGAUGGGCCCGCGGCCGAUUAGCUGGUUGGUGGGGUAAGAGCCUACCAAGGCUGCGAUC
rnacentral:rRNA from 1 species